rnacentral:rRNA from 1 species
UACGAAGGGGGCUAGCGUUGUUCGGAAUCACUGGGCGUAAAGGGCGCGUAGGCGGCCGAUUAAGUCGGGGGUGAAAGCCUGUGGCUCAACCACAGAAUUGCCUUCGAUACUGAUUGGCUUGAGACCGGAAGAGGUCAGUGGAACUGCGAGUGUAGAGGUGAAAUUCGUAGAUAUUCGCAAGAACACCGGGGGCGAAGGCGGCUCGCUGGGCAUGGUCCGACGCUGAGGCGCGAAAGCGUGGGGAGCGAACAGG